rnacentral:rRNA from 1 species
AGCGAACGCUGGCGGCAGGCCUAACACAUGCAAGUCGAACGAACUCUUCGGAGUUAGUGGCGGACGGGUGAGUAACACGUGGGAACGUGCCUUUAGGUUCGGAAUAACUCAGGGAAACUUGUGCUAAUACCGAAUGUGCCCUUCGGGGGAAAGAUUUAUCGCCUUUAGAGCGGCCCGCGUCUGAUUAGCUAGUUGGUGAGGUAAUGGCUCACCAAGGCUACGAUCAGUAGCUGGUCUGAGAGGAUGACCAGCCACAUUGGGACUGAGACACGGCCCAAACUCCUACGGGAGGCAGCAGUGGGGAAUCUUGCGCAGUGGGCGAAAGCCUGACGCAGCCAUGCCGCGUGGAUGAUGAAGGACUUAGGAUUGUAAAAUCCUUUCACCGGUGAAGAUAAUGACUGUAGCCGGAGAAGAAGCCCCGGCUAACUUCGUGCCAGCCGCCGCGGUAAUAC